rnacentral:piRNA from 1 species
UGGAAAGUUAUGCACUAAGCACAAGUC